CGCAUAUUGCGCCCUCUGGUAUUCCGGAGGGCAUGCCUGUUCGAGCGUCAUUAUCACCCCUCAAGCCCGGCUUGUUGUUGGACGUCGGCGGUGGCCUAUAGCGCCUCGCCCGUCUCAAAGAUAAUGACGGCGUCUGUGAGGACUCCUGUACACUGAGCUUUCGGGCACGUACUAGGCUAGCACUCCAGACCCGGUCUUAGUCGCCUCGUUGCGACAACUUUUACCAAGGUUGACCUCGGAUCAGGUAGGAAUACCCGCUGAACUUAA
rnacentral:misc_RNA from 1 species